GGGAAAGUGGCUCAGUGGUAGAGUGCAUCGCAUUCAUGAGGCCCUGGGUUCGAUUCCCAGCACCA
rnacentral:tRNA from 1 species